rnacentral:rRNA from 1 species
AUUGAACGCUGGCGGCAGGCUUAACACAUGCAAGUCGAGCGGGGUGAUGGUGCUUGCACUAUCACUUAGCGGCGGACGGGUGAGUAAUGCUUAGGAAUCUGCCUAUUAGUGGGGGACAACAUCUCGAAAGGGAUGCUAAUACCGCAUACGUCCUACGGGAGAAAGCAGGGGAUCACUUGUGACCUUGCGCUAAUAGAUGAGCCUAAGUCGGAUUAGCUAGUUGGUGGGGUAAAGGCCUACCAAGGCGACGAUCUGUAGCGGGUCUGAGAGGAUGAUCCGCCACACAGGGAUAGAGACGCGGCCUGGACUCGUAGGGGAGGCAGCAGUGGGGAACAUUUGACGAUGGGGGGAAGCGUGAUCCAGCCAUGCCGCGUGUGUGAAGAAGGCCUUAUGGUUGUAAAGCACUUUAAGCGAGGAGGAGGCUCUUUUGGUUAAUACCCAAGAUGAGUGGACGUUACUCGCAGAAUAAGUACCGGCUAACUCUGUGCCAGCCGCCGCCGUAA